rnacentral:rRNA from 1 species
ACUCAAAUGAAUUGACGGGGGCCCGCACAAGCGGUGGAGCAUGUGGUUUAAUUCGAAGCAACGCGCAGAACCUUACCCGGUCUUGACAUCCGAGGAAUCCUGCGGAAACGUGGGAGUGUCCCCUCACGGGGAAGCCUCGAGACAGGUGCUGCAUGGCUGUCGUCAGCUCGUGCUGUGAGGUGUUCGGUUAAGUCCGGCAACGAGCGCAACCCCUAUCGUUAGUUACCAUCAUUCAGUUGGGGACUCUAGCGAGACUGCCGGUGACAAACCGGAGGAAGGUGGGGAUGACGUCAAGUCCUCAUGGCCCUUAUGACCGGGGCUACACACGUGCUACAAUGGCAUCUACAAAGGGCUGCGAAGUCGCGAGGCGGAGCAAAUCCCAAAAAAGAUGUCUCAGUUCGGAUUGGAGUCUGCAACUCGACUCCAUGAAGCUGGAAUCGCUAGUAAUCGCGGAUCAGCACGCCGCGGUGAAUACGUUCCCGGGCCUUGCACACACCGCCCGU